ACUGGCGGCGUGCCUAACACAUGCAAGUCGAACGGAGAAUAUACGCUUCAGAAGCUUCGGCAGAUGAUUGUAUAUCUUAGUGGCGGACGGGUGAGUAACGCGUGGGCAACCUGCCUCAUACUGGGGGAUAACAGCUGGAAACGACUGUUAAUACCGCAUAAGCGCACAGUGUCGCAUGACACAGUGUGAAAAACUCCGGUGGUAUGAGAUGGGCCCGCGUCAGAUUAGCCAGUUGGCGGGGUAACGGCCCACCAAAGCGACGAUCUGUAGCCGGCCUGAGAGGGCGGACGGCCACAUUGGGACUGAGACACGGCCCAAACUCCUACGGGAGGCAGCAGUGGGGGAUAUUGCACAAUGGAGGAAACUCUGAUGCAGCGACGCCGCGUGAGCGAAGAAGUAUUUCGGUAUGUAAAGCUCUAUCAGCAGGGAAGAAAGGCUCGUAAGAGAGAUGACGGUACCUGACUAAGAAGCCCCGGCUAACUACGUGCCAGCAGCAGC
rnacentral:rRNA from 1 species